rnacentral:hammerhead_ribozyme from 1 species
AUCCUGCUGAAGAGUCCCAAAUAGGACGAAACACGCGUUCACUGU